UGAAGACUCAUCUAACCUCAGUUCCAAACCAAUAGAAUGACUGAGGCCCUUGUUCAUGUACCACUUAAAUUGGUUCUGCUUUGAAAAUGGUGCUGGGUCUAUGCUUCACCAACCUCUCCAGGUGACAGGAGCUCAUUUUCACAAUGGCAGAGACUUGCCCAUCCUUCAAACCCCAUUCUGUCAGAACAUCCAGACCCAAGGAGGUAGGAUCCAUACAGCUCCAGGCCAAAGCAAGAGACUGGGACUACAUGCCUAUUCCCCUGCAAGAGAUGGCAUUACUUUUGGAUUCUCUCAUUUGUGCAGUCUUCCAGAAGAACAAAGAGUGCUGUGAUCUGAUUUGAGGCAAAAAUCUCAAAUGGCAAAUAGGAGACAUCAUUGAGCUGUAUCAUUUAAAAAUCAGUGUGAGGGUUCGUUUGCGACCGCCAAUCUCAUCCUAUCAAAGUCUAAAUCUACCCUUCAAUGAAUAUGAGUUUUAAAAAGAGAAGGUGAAGCUUAGUGAUCUAAGAUUUUCUUUGAUAUGCAUGAAAAUCACCUGAUGGAUUGAUGGAUGGAAUGACAGAUGGGAAGGCAAGUACUGACCAGGAUUCAGUACAUUUUCAGUGUAGACAUAUUUCCAGGCAAAUGUCUGAUACAAUGAUGAGGGUGCCCGUUGCACAAUGGUAGCACAGAAGAGGAAGUUUUGGGGCCAAUAAGAUAUAUCAGACUAGAGGUGCUUAUCAUAGCAAUGGAAACCCAAUAACAAAGAGAUAUGUAUUUCCAAUAUGCUCUUUUCUACAUGGAUGGACCAAGCUGUUUGGAAACAUGUGGAGUUCAUUAGGAGAUCAGAAUGAAUAUGUCCUAGGAGAUAUCUUAAGGUUUCUGAAAAGGAAUGGGUAACUCUCCUGGAAAUAUUCGAGACCACAUUUCUUGUAAGAAUAUGACUGCCAGCACUACCAAGGUCAGCAUUCAAAUAUCUCCACUGCAAUACGUUUGGAAGACAUGAUAACAAACAACCUAUUUAAGAACUUCAUUAAACAAUCACUUUAUUAAUGGUGGCAAGAAUAUUAAUAAAAAGAGCAACAAUGUAUAUAAAAAUCACCUCCAAACAUAACAAAAAUUAUUAAAGUAAAUAGAUAAGAUAGACAACAUUGCCAACUUUUGCUACGAUGGACUACAAUACGAAACUGAAAAUUAAAUGAAACCCUUUCUCACCACAGUUAGCACAAGGACUGUUGCAGAAGCUGACAGAGAAAUAUCUAGAGUCAGAGGUAGGUGGUGAACAUUUGUACUUAGAUAUUAUUCACUAAGUAUGACAAGACUAUUGAUUGCAUAGACGGACUCAUAGUGGCUGUGACCACAAGUGCGAGACAGUUCCUGUACUGGACCUGUCCACAUUUAGGAGGAGAUAAUUAAUUUGCCAUACAAUUUCAGAAAUGUUAGUCCAUCACAGAGAGGAGAUAGUGAUGGAGCGGAGCGGCUUACACAGUGACAGCCAUGAAGCAGAGACAGCGCUAUACAGCAGGGGUACUGGUCAUGCAACAGCUCGUCAGGACAAGCUCCCUGGUGAUACAUUUUCAUCACUAGCGUCACAUCUUCCACAGUUCACCACAUUGCAAUAAUGACAUCCUAUCAGGAAUCAACCAGGAGACUAAUCCAUUGAAUAGAUACUGAUAUAAUUCUCUCUGGAGAAUCGAUCACAGACAAAUCCAGGAUGGUUCUUACAUAAUCUACGUGAUUCUCAGUCCAAACAAGCUGAGGAUCAAAUUGAACCAUCAAACCACAGCUGAACAAGCGUGGCCAGAAGACGCUCACCAUAGAAACAUCCAGCCUUGGUAUUUUCAUCCUCUUAACUGAGCAUGUGCAUAACAACAUAACUUCUGGAGAUGGUUGAAUGGAAAAUGAAAGUGAACAGAAGAGGAUGCAAAGAGGUUAGGGAGAGUGGGGCAGUAAGAAACAAGUAGACAUGAAGAUCAGACUGUGUGACUGCUAUUAAUCCACUGCUUUCUGCUUUGGACCUCAUAACUGCAUGGUGGUAUAAAAGAAAUGUGAACAGCUGCCUUGAAUUCCUGCCAUUGUAUCUUACUGUUGUGAACAUAAGGGGAUGAGCAAUAAGAAAAAUUGCACAAGAAAGAGCAUAGAGCAUCCCUCCUUGGCAUCCCUCCUUAGCAGUAAUUCCCUGAGUACACUGGGUUAGCAAGACUCUCUUCUCCCCACCCCCGCAUGGAACACUGAACAGCUAUGAAGCUCAAUAAACAUCAAGCCACAUGAAAUUCACUAU
rnacentral:lncRNA from 1 species